rnacentral:rRNA from 1 species
GAUGAACGCUAGCGGCAGGCCUAAUACAUGCAAGUCGAGGGGCAGCACGGUAGCAAUACUGGUGGCGACCGGCGCACGGGUGCGUAACGCGUAUGCAACUUACCCUUUACAGGGAGAUAGCCCGGAGAAAUUCGGAUUAAUAUCCCAUAGUAUAUAGAUUUGGCAUCAGAUUUAUAUUAAAGAUUUAUCGGUAAAGGAUGGGCAUGCGUGUCAUUAGCUAGUUGGUGAGGUAAUGGCUCACCAAGGCGACGAUGACUAGGGGUACUGAGAGGUUACACCCCCACACUGGUACUGAGACACGGACCAGACUCCUACGGGAGGCAGCAGUAAGGAAUAUUGGACAAUGGGCGAGAGCCUGAUCCAGCCAUGCCGCGUGCAGGAUGACGGUCCUAUGGAUUGUAAACUGCUUUGUAUGGGAAUAAACCCAGAUACGUGUAUCUGGUUGAAUGUACCAUAAGAAUAAGGAUCGGCUAAACUCCGUGCCAGCAGCCG